GACGAACGCUGGCGGCGUGCCUAACACAUGCAAGUCGAGCGGGAAGCUUCCGAAUUGAGACUUCGGUUGAUUUUUGGAAGUGGAGAGCGGCGGACGGGUNAGGUAACGCGUGAGUAACCUGCCUUCAAGAGGGGGAUAACACAGAGAAAUUUGUGCUAAUACCGCAUGACACCGUAGUGUCGCAUGACACAUCGGUCAAAGAUUUAUCGCUGAGAGGUGGGCUCGCGUCCGAUUAGGUAGUUGGUGAGGUAACGGCCCACCAAGCCGACGAUCGGUAGCCGACCUGAGAGGGUGAUCGGCCACAUUGGAACUGAGACACGGUCCAAACUCCUACGGGAGGCAGCAGUGGGGAAUAUUGCACAAUGGGCGAAAGCCUGAUGCAGCAACGCCGCGUGAAGGAAGAGGGUCUUCGGAUCGUAAACUUCUGUCCUUAGGGAAGAUAAUGACGGUACCUUUGGAGGAAGCCCCGGCUAACUACGUG
rnacentral:rRNA from 1 species